rnacentral:rRNA from 1 species
UGGGGGCCUACGGGAGGCAGCAGUAGGGAAUCUUCCGCAAUGGGCGAAAGCCUGACGGAGCAACGCCGCGUGAGUGAUGAAGGUCUUCGGAUCGUAAAACUCUGUUAUUAGGGAAGAACAUACGUGUAAGUAACUAUGCACGUCUUGACGGUACCUAAUCAGAAAGCCACGGCUAACUACGUGCCAGCAGCCGCGGUAAUACGUAGGUGGCAAGCGUUAUCCGGAAUUAUUGGGCGUAAAGCGCGCGUAGGCGGUUUUUUAAGUCUGAUGUGAAAGCCCACGGCUCAACCGUGGAGGGUCAUUGGAAACUGGAAAACUUGAGUGCAGAAGAGGAAAGUGGAAUUCCAUGUGUAGCGGUGAAAUGCGCAGAGAUAUGGAGGAACACCAGUGGCGAAGGCGACUUUCUGGUCUGUAACUGACGCUGAUGUGCGAAAGCGUGGGGAUCAAACAGGAUUAGAUACCCUGGUAGUCCACGCCGUAAACGAUGAGUGCUAAGUGUUAGGGGGUUUCCGCCCCUUAGUGCUGCAGCUAACGCAUAAGCACUCCGCGCAU